CACGAUUCGAGUCGCUACGAAUCGCAUGCGACAAAAUUUUAUCGCACAAUGAGAACGCCGCUUAAUGAGAACGCCACUUUAGGCCUACACUGUUUUUCGUCGAACGCCGAGUUUCAUAAAAGAAUCUUGAGGCAUUACCAGAAAAUAAUUCAGAAAACUAUAUGUGGAACAGUCCGACGGACAGACAGACAGAAGGAAGGAGAUGAAACCUAUAGUCCCCUCCAGUUGAACCAGUAAAGGAGUAAACAUUUUUUUUACAAAAAUUUAAAGUAUUAUUAUCCAUGUCUCUAAACCAACGAUAGUCUAAUUACAAAUAAUGGUUGGAGAAAUUAACUACAAAUAAUGGUUGGAGAAAAAUCUGAGAAUUAUGUACUAGUAUAGUCCACUAAAUUGCUGAGGUGUUUUCUAACCAUGAUAAUUUAUGGAUAAAUAGUUUACUACAUGUAGUUUGUGUAUUUGUAGUUCCCCGACCGGCCUUAGUUCGUGUCAUGGUUAAGCCAUUGGACAUAAGGCUGGUACAUGUAGGUACUGGGUUCACAUCCCGAUACCGGCUCCUACCAAGAGC
rnacentral:misc_RNA from 1 species